UACGGUAAAGUGACUUGUGUGCCACUUUCAAAAUAUAUAAACGGCUCAUUUACUUGUGUAUAUUAUACUUCUACAUUUAUAGCUGAUAUUACACAGUUGUGUUUUUAGGAACAUUCUGCAAGCUGAUUCCACGAGACUUCAUCUCGCGGCGUUCGUCCAUCUUCAUCCAACGGUUUGGCGCAUCUUUCCAUGAAAUCGCAGUUCAAAACCGUUACGGCUGACAGGACAUGUUCACACGGUGAUUCACACGUCGAAACGUCAAGAAAUCGUUAGCUCCUCGUCCAACGUGAUCUCCCUCGAGGUCGGCUUCUUCGAAAUCGCACGGUCAUCGAGGCAUCGGACCGCGAUAACGUCGCUCCGGUUUUCCCGAAGAAAGGAUAAAGAAGAGGAAAAGCGAAGAGGAGGACGUGGAGCGUGGUGGAACCGCGACACUCGGUCAGAUCCGAACCGUGCCAAGGGAUUACGCAACAGGAACGGCAGGUUACCGUCUCCGAAUUGUCCGAGAGAGCGGAUGAACGGUGGCGCGUAACAACAACGAUACUUUCACAGCGGAGGGUUCAAGGUUCUUGGAUCGCUUUCAUCCGACGUGGUCGAACGAAUGCUGCCUCGAGCCCGAAUCUUUCGUUGCAACCGUGACACCGCCGAUUUCGCGUUCGCCUCAUGGCCGAUUUCUAUCGAACCCCUUGUUGUCGCCAGUCGAGAAAUCCGCGCGAGGUCUUUCCUCUUCGAAUCGAUCAGCGAAAAGAGCAUCGCGAAAACAAAUUCUAUAUAGACCGAGUCCAUUUUUUCUUUUUCAGUAGCAAAUAAAAAUAUAUAAGUUAAAAAUAAAUAAGGUUACACUAAAUUAAUCGCAAACUACGCGAUAUCUCGUUCAAAAAGAAAACAAAAUAGACUCGGUUUACUUUAAAGAUAAACUUAUAGGGCUGCGAAUGAUCUCGGUAGCUCGACGGGUAGAAGAUUCGUCAUUGUGUCGCGAAUUCCGUGGGGGAUUAUUCGAGGGCCCGGACUCGCGGCACGCCGCGCCAGUCUCGCACGAGAACAAACAUUUCUAGCUGUGAUUUUCCAGGAAGUCGUUUAAUGGUCCACAGACGAACGUGCGUCUGCGAAAACGUAGAAUGACGCCGCGGCUCAUUGCGUUUAAAUAAAAUGUUUUUACUCGUCGCCAUGGGUAAACGAGAAUCCAAUUAACACCGGCGCGCGCCUGAUAAGUAACGCCUGAAAGCAGGCUGUUCGGUUCUCCGGGAAAAUACAAUGUCCACAAUGGCUGCUUAAAGAACUUUACAUUUGCUCUCUCUCUCUCUCUCUCUCUCUCUCUCUCUCUCUCUCUCUCUCUCUCUCUUCCGUUUCGAAAACGAGCAAAACAAUUUUCUGCCCACGUUCACUUUCAAAUUGUUGAAUUAAACAUUUAUUCGCGUCCCUCACUUCUAUUUUUCCCUGCAGCACAGCCCGAACGAAUGCGGUUUCCGCAAAUAUAGACAUCAUAUGAGCGCGUGUAACGCCGGUAAAUCAUAAUUAACCUUUGGUCGAUUACGAUAUUCGUAGUUAAUAUCGCGGCAUCAUUAAAUCGUUUUAAUAGACGACAUCACGUGGACACCGUUCGCGUCGCAUUCUCAAAUCCCUAUCGAAUUAGCAUAGAAACGUGGCAGUGUGAAAUAAUAUUAGCAUAACACGUGGUGUGGCCGGCGGGGGGGGGGGGAGGGCCGGCAGCUAUUCUUACGGAAGAUUCGAUGCGAUCGUUUGAAUAGUUUUGAUCCGUGGAAACGGGAAUUCGCCUCUAAAUCCACGUCAAUUUCAGAUACAAAUUUCAUUAAAUUUUCGAUUUUACGACGAACAGUUUAAAUACAGCGCUGUAAAGUCGCCGAAAGAAUUUCAAGAUGUCGUUGUUUUAGACUUGUUGCAAUAUCGUUGGAAGAGGAAAGAGAUCUUGUCAUUUACAAUUACCACUCGAAGAUCCGUAUAAGUAGUUCAAUCGAUUACGCUCGGCUACGUUUAAACACCUGCGGUUGCCUGCGAUGAAAUCGUUAACGAUGUUCAUUUUUUUCGAAGCUGUUGAUCGAUGUUCGCUCCGUCUUGUACGACAGAUCCGCUGUGUAUUUAUCUUAGACGCGAGCGAACGCAAAAACUUCGUGUUCGACGAUCUCGAGUAGGCUCUAAUGAAUACGUCCGUGCAGGUUUUAUCGUUGCUACGCGUGUAUUCCGUUCGAUCGGCCUAGCUGUCCACGAGAAAACGAGUAACACGGAUCGCCUCGGGAGGGAAUGCUGUCUUCAGAGCCAAAGUGCUGCUGCUGUUCUCCUCAUUUUUUACGCGUGCGCGAAAGAUGCCUGAAAGACCGUCUUUUUAACGCCGUGCAAAGAGACUUCAACGUGGUUAAACAUGCAUUUAAGGACGCAGAUAUUUGUGUAGAUCGCGAUCAUUUCCGAGGCGUUCUUCUUUCUGUUCUCAUGCCUUCCGGGCGCUCUCUCGACGAAGCGCAUUCAAUUAACGCUGGAACUAUCGAGCUCUAAACGCGGCUAUAAUGUAUAUUGUUUUAUAACAACGACAACAUUCGACUUGUUUAAACUUUC